UGGAAAUGAUGACAUUGAGAUUUGAGGUGUUGAGUGAAUGUUUAUUGGAGAUUGCAAGUUUAUUCGAUGUUGUAUAACUUAAUUAAUAAUUGUGUGUGCAUGCGUGUGUGGUACUCUUGGUUAUUUGCAAGGGGGCUCUGAAAUUACUUUGCAGAUUUCGGAGUGCAUCUGAGGGAUGUUGCAUUGUGCAGGGCUUCUCUGCAACAUUUCCAGUGAUUAGAGCCUACAUUGGCUCCCUUAAAUAACCUGCACACCCUUAUAUCUCUUAACGUGUGCGUGAUUAACACGCACUCGUGAUCUGAUCCAA
rfam:Xenopus laevis strain J chromosome 5S, whole genome shotgun sequence.